rnacentral:lncRNA from 1 species
CUCUCUCUCCCCCGGGAUCAGUCACCGAGUAACGCCCGGUCCCGCGGCUCGGGGAGCCAACCUCCUCCCCGCCGCGCCUGGCCCGACACGGAGACCUUGUCUGGGCUAUUCCCAAGGGCCCGCUCCCAAUUCCUGCGCCUCCCUCCCGGUCGGAGAGCUCGGGAAGAGGCGCUUCUGCUCUCCCGCUUCCCACAACCCCUAAAGCAAGAGAGCCCCUCAAGCGCAAGUCUCAGAACCGCGCGCCACGUACCUGUCAGGGGCCGCGGCUCCUCCUCCCGAGGGCGCGGUGCGGGGACAGUGCAGAAAGUUUGUGCCGCUGCCCGCGCCGGACGCCGAGAGGAAGGGGGAGCGGGCCGGCCGACGCUCGCAGAUCUCUGCUCGGCUCCCCCCUGCCCGGCUCCAAGUCGACAGCGGCUCCCCGGGAAAGGACGAGGCGGGAGAAGGUCCGAGCGCAACUCGCCGACGGUGCGUCAGCGGGCGGCGGAGUCGCGCCGCUCCCCGGCUCCCCCGCCCCCCUACCCCNNNNNNNNGGGAGCGCAGGCGGGGCUCGGCCGGGGAGGGGCCCAACCUGCCAGGCCGGCCCUGGGGAGCGCCCCGCCCCUCCGGCCCCGCCCCUCGAAGGCCCCGCCCCUGCCUCCGCCCCUGCCCCCUGAGCGUGGCCGCCAGGUGCGGGGUGGAGAGGGGUGGGGUCGGCUGCGACGUGGCCCCGGCGCCCGUUGCCAAGGUGAAGGAGGCGGAGCCUCUGAGGGAAAGUUUCCACCGAAACUUGAACCCCGGGGAAUGGAGGACACCUCGCCCUUGGGGACUCGUCUAUCGCUGGAACUACACCACUUCACGAACACACACACACACACACACAACCUUUACAAUCGUGCCAAAAGGUUCAUUACUUGGGUUUUGCUGAGUGGAGAACGUGAGACACCUCCAUGCAACACGCACUCUGUGAGUAUAGGUGUACGUGUCACAGUUCACUGGCAGUUUUCCCCCAAAUAUGAGGGCUCCUUAAUUGGACAGUUCAACAGCGAAAAGAAACUUCCCCAUUUCACAACUCCUCGGAAAAUGAGAGAGCAGGUUGGGAAUCCAUUUCCCUACGCCCAGGGUAUGGCGAUGGCCUUUGGCACCGCCUUUCCAGAACCCAGACCUUUCCAGAACCGGACUCCAUGUUUGCUGACUGCGUAUCAUCGGAGACCCUGCCUGUUGUCUUGCUGGCACUGCCACCUCCUCCUCCCCAUUUCUCCUCCUUCCAAGCUCCUUGCCUGUUUGCACGGUAAAGUCGAGGAUCUGCUUUCUGAACUUUUAAUCCAGGAGGAGGAAUCAAAUUCCUGGUUAGAGGCUCUCUUGGCAUUUCCAGAACCCUGUGGUUGGUGUGGCUGAAACUUGAGGUGAGCCGCAAUCAGAGCGGGUUGGGCCGAACUAUGGCUUGCAAAGGCGGAUGUGGGGUUUUUCUUACCCGCAACAUCCUGCUUGCGCCUCACCAGAUUCUCCUUUGGAGGAAGUAUAUCUUCCUCCCUCCAUUCUCCAUGAAUGGCAUCCAGUGACAACGAAAAUCAAGUCUAUCUAGCUUCGGGUUCUCUCUUGCAACCUCAGUAAUCAGAGGAUGCAAAAACUUCACACUUCCAGCUCUACCACCGCUGCUAUUCUUGAUGACUGCAGCAGGGAUGCAUCUGCUGCAAAUAACUCUCAGGGGUCACCAACCUUCCACCGAUAACAAGUGCAAGACAGGUGGCUAACUAAAAGCUGCGGAAGGACAGGGAGAUAGAAGCAUAGGAGCGAGGAAGUUCUGCCCAGCAGGUCAGGGCCUGUUCUAACAAUUGGGAUGUGGGGGAAUCAUUUAUUCAACCAUUAUAGAGUGUUUUUCCCAUGCUAGGCAUUCUCCUAGGGAUUGGGGACACAGCAGAGAACAAAAACAAAAAUUUUAACCCUCAUGGAGUUUACCUUCCAGGCAGGAGACACAAAUGAUAAAGAAAAUAUGUGGACUACCAUAUGAUUCGGAGAAGGAAAUGGCAACCCACUCCAGGACUCUUGCCUGGAAAAUCCCAC